AAAAUGUAUAUAAAUUGUGUUCAUCCAGGCUAUGUUGAUACUGAUAUCAAUUGGCAUACAGGAGUAUUGAGUGUCGAAGAAGGGGCUAAAGGCCCUCUCAAGUUAGCUCUUUUGCCAGAUGGAGGUCCCACAGGUUGCUAUUUUGAUCAAACUGAAUUGGGAGAGUUUUAAUUGAUUCAUUGCUGUUUGGAAUGAGACUCCA
rnacentral:misc_RNA from 1 species